AAGCUACAGUGAAAUACUAUCUCACGCCUACCAGGUCUGCAAAAUCCAGCUUGGGCAAGGGUGUCGCCGGCCCCCUCUUAUGCUGGUGGGGGAGGGCGAUUUGGUACCACCCCUUUAGGGGCCUAAAUACAGCCCUCGCACUUCUGCACCAAGGAAUUUAACCUAAGAAAAUAGUCCGACUUGGGCAAAAAACGUUGCUUUGCACUGGAGGCAAUGAAGACACGGCGGAGUCCCAGCUCGCAGGGAGCUCAGGUUCUGACGGCGUCAGAGGACAACACGCUCUGGACCAGCGCAGCGCCCAAGGGUCAGCGGCAGCAGCGAGCAGGGGGCACGGGAUGCGGGGAGGCUCUUCGGGAGGCAUGAAAGGCAGACGUGUUCCGAAACGUGAGCCGCGCUGAGGGGCACGGCGCACGACCGGGGACAGAAGGAAGACACUGCGGUCGCAAAGCCCUGGCCGUGCAAAGGCCCCGUGGUCAGCCAGGAGCCCAGGCGUCCCCUGCUCUAGCGAGGUUUCCUUCCGAACGUCCCGUAGCACCGCUUACCAUGGAACGGCGGGCGCUGCCUCGCAGCCCCGACCCCGC
rnacentral:lncRNA from 1 species